rnacentral:lncRNA from 1 species
AACCAGGUCUAGAACCCAAACCUUCAACCCCUGAGCUUUCCUGCCUUCGAGUCCUCGGAGCUCUCCUGGAGGCUGAGCAGGCAACAGAGCCUGCUCCUCAGCUGGAUGUGGCCCGUGGGAGUAAAUACAGAGUUUCGCCAUCUUGGCCAGGCUGGUCUAGAGCCCAAAUGAUCCGCCCAUCUUGGGCCUCCCAAAGUGUUGGGAUUACAGGCAUGAACCACCUCGCCCGGCCUCCCUGUGGUUUUCUGAGACACAAGAUCCAAUUGCUCUGCUGGCUUCUCAGCCCCCGGGCCUUCGAUGGCUCCCCAUGCCUGCAGAAGGAGCAGGUUAGCCUGAGAUGGAGUCUGCCCCAGGAUGACUUUUGACUUCCUCGUCUUGCCCAGUGCCCUGCCUUCAGCUAAAAACUGAGUUUCUCCCUAUGGGUUUCCACCUUUCAAAGCCCAUCUUCACUGUCACUUUGUCCAGGGAGCCAUCCCUGAUUCUCCCAGGUGGAGAAACUGAGGCUCAGAUAAAUGACUAAGAAGUAAAGUGAGGUCCCAUAGCCAGUGAAUGGCAGAGCAGGGAUUCGAACCCAGGUCUCUCAUCUGGGAAGUGGGAUGAUAGCGCCAACCUAGCUGGAUUGCUGUGACUGCCAGCACAAUGCCUUCUAAGGGUUCAAGAUGAGAUUACUUAGUCCCAGAUGGGUUAAGUAACUGGCCCAAGGUCACAGCGCUGGUAAGCAACUGGGCUUCAAUCCAACCAUCCUGACUCCAGAAGCCUCUUUGAACUACCACCUUCUGCACCUGCCCCAGGGCUUCUUCGCCUGAGCCGGUGCCUUGCUGCCGCCCUGCUCAUCUCUUCUGGGAAGAUGCCUCUCAUCUUGCCAGUCCUCAAGCCAGAAGCCUCCGGUGCUGCCCUAGGGCUCCCUGAAUAGGCAUCCCUAAGGCAUCCCUCCUGGUGUUCAAACCACAUCCUUCCUGGCUAAGCUUCCAUUCCCCAGGGUAGCCCUCCACACUUUGGAGCCUCAGCUCACCUCUCACUCUCACACUUCAGUUUCACACUUCCCUUCUGAAUGGUCCCACCUCUGUGCUUUUGCUUAAGCUGUGCACACUUCCCAGAGUGCUCUUUCCCCUAUGUCUGCCUGUGCUCCAAUACCCUAUGCCUGAGCUGACCCAUGACAUACAAGCACCUACAGAGGCCUGGGGGAAGGAGGCAGUGGUAUGUGUGUCAGUGUGGGGAGUCAGUGAAGAGGUUUGGGGCUUUAGGGUCAGUUAUGUGACUUCAGGGCAAGUCCCCAUCUCCCUGAACCCCAGUUUCUGCAAAAUGAAGAUAUCCAUCCCAGCUUCUCCCAAGGUUUAUAAUGGUAAUCUGUGAGGUUCUGGCACAUGAUGAAUCCAUAACUACCCGUUGUGACAAGUUCCCCACUUGUGAAGUCAAAUGAAGACCCCCUGGUGUUGACAGUGCAGGAAAACCUGUGCCCGAGCACCUUGUCCCUAGGGAGAACCCUACCUUCAGUGCCUCUCUGAACAACAGGGCCAGGAAGGGGUCACUGUAUAGCAGUUGGUCCCUAGUGACCAGUCCUGGCAGAGGGCCUUUAUCCCACUUCCAGUAGCCCAGCACCAACCAUCCCCAGCUCUGGGAGGGGGUGGGCAGCACCCUCCUUCCUCCACAUUGUUGCCACCUCAGAGAGUCAGAAUCCAGGGAGACAGUCUCCUGGCAGCGGAGCUCCUGCUGCCCGCCAUGGGUGUCUGUGAUGCUGCCGUGCCCACUGGGGGCUGCAGGCACUCCAGCAUCAGGAUGGACUAAAUCUCGGGAGUGGGAAGGGGACUCCAGCCAGGGGCACUGGAGACAGGGCCAGCCUGAGUGCCUGCUUCUCCCAGGGGCAGGUGCCAGCAUGGUGCACCCCUCAAGGAGUGUGGCAGGUAAGAUUGAGGUCCUGGCUGCCCCAGGCUCCUGUGCCAUCGAGAGGGAAAGCACCUGGAACAGGUAUACAGUAGAUGCUUAGUGAUGAGGAGAAUCUUCACUUGGUGGAAUUCUGAACACUUUGGGUACCACCAGAGUCAGAAUUCCCAGAGGAGGAGGCAGGCAUUUGAUAACGGAUGUCUGGAGGAUAUAGCAUGUUCAACCUUCCCCUCUCCAUGAGAGGAAGUGGUGACCUCAACCCCAGCACCCUCCUCUGCCCAUUCACACCCACCCACUCCCACCUCUCUGCCAGCCUCAGUUGGAUGUGGAGCAGAAUGUAAUGAGGACUUACCUGUCCACAAGGACUUCACAACUGUUCCAAGGCGAUGGAUGGGCAGGUGCUAACGCAGCCCCUCAGUGUCCCCCUUCCCUUGCUUUUGGGGUGGGCUUGGGGCCCCCGGGGGGUCCUAACUCACUGAAGAUACCAGGGCCCAGCUUCUGAGUAUUCCUAGAGGCCAUUUCUACCCCUAGAAACUUUACAUGGAGCCAAAAGCCCAUUUGAAGCUCAGUCUGGGCCAGGAGAGGCUAAUCAUAAAAGGGAUAUUUUUUAAGUGUACAGAAAUAAGAAUUUAUUUUUGAAGACAUGAUUUAUAUUUUGAAUGGCUAAUGCACUCACAUGAUUCAAAAUUCAAAAUUCCAAAAGAACCGACAGUGCAAAGUCGCUCCUCCUUUGGUCCCCACCACCCAGUUUCCCUCUGCAGAGGGAACCUUGUUGCCAGUUCUUGUGUAUUCUUCCAGAGAUCUUCUAUGUAUAAACCGUCAUCCUCCU